rnacentral:rRNA from 1 species
AUUGAACGCUGGCGGCAGGCUUAACACAUGCAAGUCGAGCGGUAGCACAGGGGCGCUUGCCCCCUGGGUGACGAGCGGCGGACGGGUGAGUAAUGUCUGGGAAACUGCCUGAUGGAGGGGGAUAACUACUGGAAACGGUAGCUAAUACCGCUUAACGUCGCAAGCACAAAGAGGGGGACCUUCGGGCCUCUUGCCAUCAGUUGUGCCCAGAUGGGAUUAGCUAGUAGGUGGGGUAAUGGCUCACCGAGGCGACGAUCCCUAGCUGGUCUGAGAGGAUGACCAGCCACACUGGAACUGAGACACGGUCCAGACUCCUACGGGAGGCAGCAGUGGGGAAUAUUGCACAAUGGGCGCAAGCCUGAUGCAGCCAUGCCGCGUGUGUGAAGAAGGCCUUCGGGUUGUAAAGCACUUUCAGCGAGGAGGAAGGUGGUGAGCUUAAUACGUUCAUCAAUUGACGUUACUCGCAGAAGAAGCACCGGCUAACUCCGUG